AACCUUUUUAGCUCACCUGGCCCAAAGGGCCAAGUGAGCUUUUCCCAUCACUUUGCGUCCGUCGUCCGUCGUCGUUGUUAACUUUUACAAAAAUCUUCUCCUCUGAAACUACUGGGCCAAAUUAAACCAAACUUGGCCACAAUCAUCAUUGGGGUAUCUAGUUAAAAAAAUGUGUCCGGUGACCCGGCCAACCAACCAAGAUGGCCACCAUGGCUAAAAAUAGAACAUAGGGGUAAAAUGCAGUUUUUGGCUUAUAACUCAAAAACCAAAGCAUUUAGAGCAAAUCUGACAGGGGUAAAACUGUUUAUCAGGUCAAGAUCUAUCUGCCCUGGAAUUUUCAGAUGAAUCAGACAUUCCGUUGUAGGGUUGCUGCCCCUGAAUUGGUAAUUUUAAGGAAAUUUUGCUGUUUUUGGUUAUUAUCUUGAAUGUUAUUAUAGAUAGAGAUAAACUGUAAACAGCAAUAAUGUUCAGCAAAGUAAGAUUUACAAAUAAGUCAA
rnacentral:lncRNA from 1 species